rnacentral:rRNA from 1 species
CCCUUAGAGUUUGAUCCUGGCUCAAGACGAACGCUGGCGGCGCGCCUAACACAUGCAAGUCGAACGGAGCUUAGAGAGCUUGCUUUUUAAGCUUAGUGGCGAACGGGUGAGUAACGCGUGAGUGACCUGCCCUAGAGUGGGGGACAACAGUUGGAAACGACUGCUAAUACCGCAUAAGCCCACGGUACCGCAUGGUACUGAGGGAAAAGGAUUUAUUCGCUUUAGGAUGGACUCGCGUCCAAUUAGCUAGUUGGUGAGGUAACGGCCCACCAAGGCGACGAUUGGUAGCCGGACUGAGAGGUUGAACGGCCACAUUGGGACUGAGACACGGCCCAGACUCCUACGGGAGGCAGCAGUGGGGGAUAUUGCACAAUGGGGGAAACCCUGAUGCAGCGACGCCGCGUGGAGGAAGAAGGUUUUCGGAUUGUAAACUCCUGUCGUUAGGGACGAUAAUGACGGUACCUAACAAGAAAGCACCGGCUAACUACGUGCCAGCAGCCGCGGUAAAACGUAGGGUGCAAGCGUUGUCCGGAAUUACUGGGUGUAAAGGGAGCGCAGGCGGGAAGACAAGUUGGAAGUGAAAACCAUGGGCUCAACCCAUGAAUUGCUUUCAAAACUGUUUUUCUUGAGUAGUGCAGAGGUAGAUGGAAUUCCCGGUGUAGCGGUGGAAUGCGUAGAUAUCGGGAGGAACACCAGUGGCGAAGGCGGUCUACUGGGCACCAACUGACGCUGAGGCUCGAAAGCAUGGGUAGCAAACAGGAUUAGAUACCCUGAUAGUCCAUGCCGUAAAACGAUGAUUAAUUAGGUGUGGGGGGAUUGACCCCCUCAGUGCCGCAGGUAACACAAUAAGUAAUCCACCUGGGGAGUACGACCGCAAGGUUGAAACUCAAAGGAAUUGACGGGGGCCCGCACAAGCAGUGGAGUAUGUGGUUUAAUUCGAAGCAACGCGAAGAACCUUACCAGGUCUUGACAUCCGAUGCAUAACACAGAGAUGUGUGAAAUCCUUCGGGACAUCGAGACAGGUGGUGCAUGGUUGUCGUCAGCUCGUGUCGUGAGAUGUUGGGUUAAGUCCCGCAACGAGCGCAACCCUUAUUGCCAGUUACUACGUUAAGAGGACUCUGGCGAGACUGCCGUUGACAAAACGGAGGAAGGUGGGGAUGACGUCAAAUCAUCAUGCCCUUUAUGACCUGGGCUACACACGUACUACAAUGGCGUUAAACAAAGAGAAGCAAGACCGCGAGGUGGAGCAAAACUCAAAAACAACGUCUCAGUUCAGAUUGCAGGCUGCAACUCGCCUGCAUGAAGUCGGAAUUGCUAGUAAUCGCGGAUCAGCAUGCCGCGGUGAAUACGUUCCCGGGCCUUGCACU